UUUUUUCUGAAUUUUUCUGUCAUUCUGCCUGUAAUUUAUUUUUACUUCAUUUGGUAAUUAAUUACCACCUGUUAAGAAUUCUAAGGGAAACAAAUACUCUAUAUUAUUCAUUUUACCAUCUCAUGGAUUUCCUACACACACACAAAAAUGUGUCCUCGGGAGUUAUUUAGCGCAUGAAAUUGGAACCUGGGACCUCCACAGUUGCCCUGUGGGUCUUUGUCUAUACACACUGAAAUCUCGGGAGAGCCCUGCUUGUAACUUACCUUUCCACCGACACAUCCUGGAACUUGACUGGGGAUUAAACUUUCAUCCCCCAAACCUGCCUCAUAGGCCUGGGAUUCUUAGCACGUGUCAGAGCGUGACCAAGCUUGAACAGUAUUUAUCUGGAUCAACUACUAGGUAAGACUAUUUAUUUAGUACUCCUAAAAUCUCUGUGAUGUUAAUUUACAGUUACAUGGUAGGAUAUAAUUUAAGAUAUUGGAAAAAUACAAGUGACAACCAAAAGAUUUUUCCCAUAGUUUAAUGACUCCAUUAAUAUAUGGAACAUUAUUAGGCAAUCUUGUGUGGUGAUAGUUUCCAUUUGCCUCUCAUAUCCAUUCUUUCCUUCUUUGUUAGCUACCUAGAAUAAAUAUCACAGUAGAGCUGAGUUUGGCUGUCAAACUAAGCUGUGAACAGCUUACAGUACACUGUAAGCAGGUUUCUUAAACAGCGGAAAACUACCCUUCAGCUCUUCAUUUUUCCUCCGGGCUAGAAUAUGGAUGUGAUUGUGAAUGCUGGAGCAUGAGCAGCCACAAUGGGCCAUGAGGUGGAUGGUAGAACAACAAGCUGGAAGAAAUAGUCUGGCUCCUGAGGAUCAUGAAGUCACCAGACCAGCCCUGGACUGCCAACCUCUGGACUUCAUUUACAUGAGCAGUGGAAGGGUACACCCAGGGGACAUCUGUCUGCAGUCAGCCCGUCACCAGCGCAGGAGGAAGCAGAGUCUCAUUCUAU